CGAGCGGACAGAUGGGAGCUUGCUCCCUGAUGUUAGCGGCGGACGGGUGAGUAACACGUGGGUAACCUGCCUGUAAGACUGGGAUAACUCCGGGAAACCGGGGCUAAUACCGGAUGCUUGUUUGAACCGCAUGGUUCAAACAUAAAAGGUGGCUUCGGCUACCACUUACAGAUGGACCCGCGGCGCAUUAGCUAGUUGGUGAGGUAACGGCUCACCAAGGCAACGAUGCGUAGCCGACCUGAGAGGGUGAUCGGCCACACUGGGACUGAGACACGGCCCAGACUCCUACGGGAGGCAGCAGUAGGGAAUCUUCCGCAAUGGACGAAAGUCUGACGGAGCAACGCCGCGUGAGUGAUGAAGGUUUUCGGAUCGUAAAGCUCUGUUGUUAGGGAAGAACAAGUACCGUUCGAAUAGGGCGGUACCUUGACGGUACCUAACCAGAAAGCCACGGCUAACUACGUGCCAGCAGCCGCGGUAAUACGUAGGUGGCAAGCGUUGUCCGGAAUUAUUGGGCGUAAAGGGCUCGCAGGCGGUUUCUUAAGUCUGAUGUGAAAGCCCCCGGCUCAACCGGGGAGGGUCAUUGGAAACUGGGGAACUUGAGUGCAGAAGAGGAGAGUGGAAUUCCACGUGUAGCGGUGAAAUGCGUAGAGAUGUGGAGGAACACCAGUGGCGAAGGCGACUCUCUGGUCUGUAACUGACGCUGAGGAGCGAAAGCGUGGGGGAGCGAACAGGAUUAGAUACCCUGGUAGUCCACGCCGUAAACGAUGAGUGCUAAGUGUUAGGGGGUUUCCGCCCCUUAGUGCUGCAGCUAACGCAUUAAGCACUCCGCCUGGGGAGUACGGUCGCAAGACUGAAACUCAAAGGAAUUGACGGGGGCCCGCACAAGCGGUGGAGCAUGUGG
rnacentral:rRNA from 1 species